rfam:Lactobacillus saerimneri 30a contig00017, whole genome shotgun sequence.
UGGUAUCUGAAGUGUACGCGUUAUCUUAUAAAUGUAUGGUUGACCGAACACUUUUUACUUUUUGUUCACAAUGACUGGCAGCUAGUAUGCCUAACCAUUAUUAUCGUUAGGAAACUACAAACCAGGCUACGUGGGCCUUCCUGCUUUGAGAGCGGGUUCAACUACAAAGAUGAUUAACGGCACAAUCGGAGCCGCG